UACGUAGGGGGCAAGCGUUGUCCGGAAUCAUUGGGCGUAAAGAGCGUGUAGGCGGCCCGAUAAGUCCGCUGUGAAAGUCCAGGGCUCAACCCUGGGGAUGCCGGUGGAUACUGUCGAGCUCGAGUCCGGAAGAGGCGAGUGGAAUUCCUGGUGUAGCGGUGAAAUGCGCAGAUAUCAGGAGGAACACCAAUUGCGAAGGCAGCUCGCUGGGACGUUACUGACGCUGAGACGCGAAAGCGUGGGGAGCAAACAGG
rnacentral:rRNA from 1 species